AAAAAAGAUAUUAAGGGCCAUAGGUGGAUGCCUUGGCUAGUAGAGGCGAUGAAAGACGUACUAGGCUGCGAUAAGCCUCGGGGAGCUGCCAAGAAGCUUUGAUCCGGGGAUUUCUGAAUGGGGUAACCCAGCAUGGUGCGAAUCAUGUUACCCUACGGGGAGCGAACUCAGGGAAGUGAAACAUCUCAGUACCUGAAGGAAAAGAAAUCAAACGAGAUUCCCAUAGUAGCGGCGAGCGAAAAGGGAUUAGGGCACUUAGUGAUAAUAUAUUUGUUAGCCGAACACUUUGGAAAGAGUGAACACAGAGGGUGAUAUUCCCGUAAGCGAAAACAUUUAUAUGGUACUAGACUAAGGAAUGAGUAGGUCGGGACACGUGUUAUCUUGACUGAAUAUGGGGGGACCACCCUCCAACCCUAAAUACUACUACUAGACCGAUAGCGAACAAGUACCGUGAGGGAAAGGUGAAAAGAACUGCGGUGAGCAGAGUGAAAUAGAACCUGAAACCUAUGGCUUACAAUCAUUCGGAGCACUAUUAUUUAUAAGUGUGACGGACUGCCUUUUGCAUAAUGAGCCUGCGAGUUGUGGUGUCUGGCAAGGUUAAUCAAACGAGAAGCCGUAGCGAAAGCGAGUCUUAAUAGGGCGAAUUAGUCAGAUGCUGCAGACCCGAAACUGAGUGAUCUAUCCAUGAGCAGGUUGAAGCUGGUGUAAGAGCCAGUGGAGGACCGAACCCAUUGACGUUGAAAAGUCUCGGGAUGACUUGUGGAUAGGGGUGAAAGGCCAAUCAAACUCAGUGAUAGCUGGUUCUCUCCGAAAUAUAUUUAGGUAUAGCCUCGAGCAGUAGCAUGAAGGGGUAGAGCACUGACAGGGCUAGGGCUGCUUACCGCGGUACCAAACCCUAUCAAACUCCGAAUACUUCAUGUGUAACCUCGGGAGUCAGGCGGUGGGUGAUAAAAUCAAUCGUCAAGAGGGGAACAACCCAGACUAGCAGCUAAGGUCCCAAAGUCUUGUCUAAGUGGAAAAGGAUGUGGAGUUGCUGUGACAACCAGGAGGUUGGCUUAGAAGCAGCCAUCUUUUAAAGAAAGCGUAACAGCUCACUGGUCUAGCGAUUCUGCGCCGAAAAUAUAACGGGGCUAAGACAAGCACCGAAGCUCUAGAUUCACAUUUAUGUGAGUGGUAGGAGAGCGUUCCAGUCAGCGUAGAAGCCAUACCGGCAAGGAGUGGUGGAGCGGCUGGAAGUGAGCAUGCAGGCAUGAGUAGCGAUAAAAGAAGUGAGAAUCUUCUUCGCCGUAAACCCAAGGUUUCCUACGCGAUGCUCGUCAUCGUAGGGUUAGUCGGGACCUAAGUCGAGUCCGAGAGGGGUAGACGAUGGCAAAUUGGUUAAUAUUCCAAUACCGACGGAAGUUCGCUUGAGUGAUGAGGGGACGCAUAGAGUUAAUUGAGCUCACUGAUGGAAUAGUGGGUCGAAGGACGUAGGUUGUAUCAUAGGCAAAUCCGUGAUACGUUAGACCGAGAUCUUACAGGCAGAGCAAUCUCUUCGGAGAGCGCUUUGAAUCAAUGAUACUGUCGUGCCGAGAAAAGCCUCUAAACGAGAACUGCCGUUGCCCGUACCGUAAACCGACACAGGUGGGUGAGAUGAGUAUUCUAAGGCGCGUGGAUGAACCCUGGUUAAGGAACUCUGCAAACUAGCACCGUAUCUUCGGUAUAAGGUGUGCCCUAAUUGUUAGGAGAUUUACUCUCCAAAGCGAUAAAGGGUCGCAGCAAAGUGUCCCUCCCGACUGUUUACCAAAAACACAGCACUCUGCUAACUCGUAAGAGGAUGUAUAGGGUGUGACGCCUGCCCGGUGCUUGAAUGUUAAAUGGAUUACUCAGCGCAAGCGAAGGUUUGAAAUGAAGCACAAGUAAACGGCGGCCGUAACUAUAACGGUCCUAAGGUAGCGAAAUUCCUUGUCGGUUAAAUACCGACCUGCAUGAAUGGCGUAACGAGAUGGGAGCUGUCUCAACCAGGGAUCCAGUGAAAUUGUAGUGGAGGUGAAAAUUCCUCCUACCCGCGGAAAGACGGAAAGACCCCGUGCACCUUUACUAUAGCUUGACAUUGAUGUCUGGAUUGAUUUGUGUAGGAUAGGCGGGAGACUGUGAAGCCAUGGCGCUAGCUGUGGCAGAGUCAACGUUGAAAUACCGCCCUAAUGAGUUUGGAAAUCUA
rnacentral:rRNA from 1 species